CAACUUUUAACAACGGAUCUCUUGGCUCUCGCAUCGAUGAAGAACGCAGCGAAAUGCGAUAAGUAAUGUGAAUUGCAGAAUUCAGUGAAUCAUCGAAUCUUUGAACGCACCUUGCACUCUCUGGUAUUCCGGAGAGUACGCCUGUUCGAGUGUU
rnacentral:rRNA from 1 species